rnacentral:rRNA from 1 species
CAAUAGCGUAUAUUAAAGUUGUUGCGGUUAAAAAGCUCGUAGUUGGAUUUCUGCCGAGGACGACCGGUCCGCCCUCUGGGUGAGUAUCUGGCUCGGCCUGGGCAUCUUCUUGGAGAACGUAGCUGCACUUGACUGUGUGGUGCGGUAUCCAGGACUUUUACUUUGAGGAAAUUAGAGUGUUUCAAGCAGGCUUACGCCUUGAAUACAUUAGCAUGGAAUAAUAAGAUAGGACCUCGGUUCUAUUUUGUUGGUUUCUAGAGCUGAGGUAAUGAUUAAUAGGGAUAGUUGGGGGCAUUCGUAUUUAACUGUCAGAGGUGAAAUUCUUGGAUUUGUUAAAGACUAACUUAUGCGAAAGCAUUUGCCAAGGAUGUUUUCAUUAA